rnacentral:rRNA from 1 species
GACGAACGCUGGCGGCGUGCCUAACACAUGCAAGUCGAGCGGAAAGGCCAGCAUCUUGGUGCUGGUGCUUUAGCGGCGAACGGGUGAGUAACACGUGGGUGAUCUGCCUUGUACUCCGGGAUAAGCUCGGGAAACCGGGUCUAAUACCGGAUGGGACCAUGGUUCACUGUCUCAUGGUGGAAAGAACAUUCUUUUUGUCCAGGAUGAGCUCGUCCCCUAUUAGCUUGUUGGUGGGGUAAUGACCUACCAAGCCAUGCACGGGUAGCCUGCCUGCGUGAGUGGCCGGCCUCAUUGGGACAGAGAUACCGCCCAGCUUCGGAAGGGAGGCAGCGGUGAGCAAUAUUGCAGAAUGGGCGCCAGCCGGAGGCAGCCAGGCUGCGUGGGGGAUGUCGGCGUUCGGGUAGUAAACUCCUUUAGUGAGGGACGAAGCCGUACGUUUUUUGGGAGUGGUGAAGGUACCUUUGUUAAGAAGCCACGGCUAACUACGUG